rnacentral:rRNA from 1 species
UACGUAGGGGGCAAGCGUUAUCCGGAUUUACUGGGUGUAAAGGGAGCGCAGGCGGCAAGGCAAGUCUGAUGUGAAAGCCCGGGGCUCAACCCCGGGACGGCAUUGGAAACUGUCAAGCUAGAGUGUCGGAGAGGUAAGUGGAAUUCCUAGUGUAGCGGUGAAAUGCGUAGAUAUUAGGAGGAACACCAGUGGCGAAGGCGGCUUACUGGACGACAACUGACGCUGAGGCUCGAAAGCGUGGGGAGCAAAC